rnacentral:rRNA from 1 species
GGAAUUUUCCGCAAUGGGCGAAAGCCUGACGGAGCAACGCCGCGUGAGGGAUGAAGGCCUCUGGGCUGUAAACCUCUUUUCUCAAGGAAGAAGAUCUGACGGUACUUGAGGAAUAAGCCACGGCUAAUUCCGUGCCAGCAGCCGCGGUAAUACGGGAGUGGCAAGCGUUAUCCGGAAUUAUUGGGCGUAAAGCGUCCGCAGGCGGUUUUUCAAGUGUGAUAUUAAAGCCGGCAGCUCAACUGUCGUUUGGUGUCGCAAACUGUCAAACUAGAGGCUUAGAGAGGUGCGUGGAAUUCUGCAUGUAGGGGUAAAAUCCGUAGAUAUGCAGAGGAACACCAAAAGCGAAAGCAGCGCACUGGAUAAGUUCUGACGCUCAUGGACGAAAGCGUGGGGAGCAAACAGGAUUAGAUACCCCAGUAGUC